rnacentral:rRNA from 1 species
AACGAACGCUGGCGGCAGGCCUAACACAUGCAGGUCGAACGCCCCGCAAGGGGAGUGGCGCACGGGUGAGUAACGCGUGGGAAUAUGCCCUUCGGUUCGGAAUAACACAGGGAAACUUGUGCUAAUACCGGAUACGAUCUACGGAUGAAAGAUUUAUCGCCGAGGGAGUAGCCCGCGUAGGAUUAGCUAGUUGGUGAGGUAAUGGCUCACCAAGGCGACGAUCCUUAGCUGGUCUGAGAGGAUGAUCAGCCACACUGGGACUGAGCCCCGGCCCAUACUCCUACGGGAGGCAGCAGUGGGUAAUAUUGGACAAUGGGCGAAAGCCUGAUCCAGCCAUGCCGCGUGAGUGAUGAAGGCCUUAGGGUUGUAAAGCUCUUUCGCCAGGGAAGAUAAUGACGGUACCUGGAAAAGAAGCCUCGGCUAACUCCGUGCCAGCCGCCGCGGUAA